GAAUAUUGCACAAUGGGGGAAACCCUGAUGCAGCGACGCCGCGUGAGUGAAGAAGUACUUCGGUACGUAAAGCUCUAUCAGCAGGGAAGAAGAUGACGGUACCUGACUAAGAAGCCCCGGCUAACUACGUGCCAGCAGCCGCGGUAAUACGUAGGGGGCAAGCGUUAUCCGGAAUUACUGGGUGUAAAGGGAGCGUAGGUGGCGAAGCAAGUCAGAUGUGAAAGCCCGGGGCUCAACUCCGGGACUGCAUUUGAAACUGUUUUGCUAGAGUGCAGGAGAGGUAAGUGGAAUUCCUAGUGUAGCGGUGAAAUGCGUAGAUAUUAGGAGGAACACCAGUGGCGAAGGCGGCUUACUGGACUGUAACUGACACUGAGGCUCGAAAGCGUGGGGAGCAAACAG
rnacentral:rRNA from 1 species